CAGUAGCCGCGGUAAUACGAAGGGGGCUAGCGUUGCUCGGAAUGACUGGGCGUAAAGGGCGCGUAGGCGGAUUGUUUAGUUAGGCGUGAAAUUCCUGGGCCUAACCUGGGGACUGCGCUUAAUACAGGCAGUCUAGAGUGAGGAAGAGGGUUGUGGAAUUCCCAGUGUAGAGGUGAAAUUCGUAGAUAUUGGGAAGAACACCGGCGGCGAAAGCGGCUCACUGGACCAUUUCUGACGCUGAUGCACGAAAGCUAGGGGAGCAAACAGGAUUAGAUACCCCGGUAGUCCCUGUCUCUUAUAC
rnacentral:rRNA from 1 species